rnacentral:rRNA from 1 species
ACUGAACGCUGGCGGCAGGCCUAACACAUGCAAGUCGAACGGUAGCACAGAGAGCUUGCUCUCGGGUGACGAGUGGCGGACGGGUGAGUAACGUCUGGGAAACUGCCCGAUGGAGGGGGAUAACUACUGGAAACGGUAGCUAAUACCGCAUAACGUCGCAAGACCAAAGUGGGGGACCUUCGGGCCUCACACCACCGGAUGUGCCCAGAUGGGAUUAGCUAGUAGGUGGGGUAAUGGCUCACCUAGGCGACGAUCCCUAGCUGGUCUGAGAGGAUGACCAGCCACACUGGAACUGAGACACGGUCCAGACUCCUACGGGAGGCAGCAGUGGGGAAUAUUGCACAAUGGGCGCAAGCCUGAUGCAGCCAUGCCGCGUGUAUGAAGAAGGCCUUCGGGUUGUAAAGUACUUUCAGCGGGGAGGAAGGCGGUGAAGUUAAUAGCUUCACCGAUUGACGUUACCCGCAGAAGAAGCACCGGCUAACUCCGUGCCAGCAGCCGCCGCAG